rnacentral:rRNA from 1 species
UACGGAGGAUGCAAGCGUUAUCCGGAUUUAUUGGGCGUAAAGCGUCCGCAGGUGGCUAUUCAAGUCUGCUGUCAAAGCUCGGAGCUUAACUCCGAAUCGGCGGUGGAAACUGAACAGCUAGAGUGCAGUAGGGGUAGAGGGAAUUCCCAGUGUAGCGGUGAAAUGCGUAGAGAUUGGGAAGAACACCGGUGGCGAAAGCGCUCUACUGGACCUUAACUGACACUGAGGGACGAAAGCUAGGGGAGCGAAUGGG